GGCCCUGCCCCCCACUCUGCCACCUCCCUCCCCAAUUUUUGGGCCUUUCCCCCAAUUUUUGGGCUUUUUUUUCCCAAAUUUUUCGGGGUUUUUUCCCCUUUUCCCCCCCAAAUUUUGGUCAUUUUCCCUCUCUCCCCCAAAAUUUUCCAGGGUUUUUUUUCCCCCUCUUUCCCCUCAGAUUUCAGCAUUUUUUCCCCAAAUUUUGGUUAUUUUCCCCCAUUCCCCCAAAUUUUGGCUUUUUUUUCCCCAAAUUUUUGGGUAUUUUUCCCCUCUUUCCCCCCAAAUUUCAGCUUUUUUUUUUCCCUUUUCCCCAAAUUUUGGUUAUUUUCCCCCAUUCCCCCAAAUUUUGGCUUUUUUUUCCCCUUCUUUCCCCCAAAUUUCAGCACUUUUUUCCUCUCCCCCCCAAAUUUUCGGGUACUUUUUCCCUCCCUCCCCCAAUUUUGGGUAUUUUUCCCCUUUCCCCCCAAAUUUUGGUCAUUUUUCCUCCCCCCUCCCCAAAAUUUUCAGGUAUUUCUUCCCCUCCCCUCUCCAAAUUUUAUGGUUUUUUUCUCUCCUUCCAAAUUUUGGGUUUUUCCCCCCAAAAUUUGGGGUCUUUUCCCACCAAAUUUUGGUUUUUUUCGCUGGUGCUGGGACCCCUCCCCAAUUUGUUUUUUUUUUUUUUUUUUCCAAUGAUUUUGUACGGGAUGGAAAUAAAAUCCAAUUUUUUUGGGCUGGUUUGUGUCUUUUUCUUUAUUUCUUGUUUUAUUUCUUUAUUUUUUGGGGCUUUUCGGGUCCAGACUUCACCCAGGGACCCCCAGAUUCCCCCUGCCCUUUCCCAGGUGUUUAUUUCAGAUUUUCUACCCAAAUUCCCGAAUUAUUCCGAUUAAUCCGGCCCCAAAUCCCACCUGGAGCUGGGAUAAAAAAUGAGAUUUGAAAGGUUUUAAUCCCAAAAAAAGGAUUUUUUUUUUUGGGAAUUUCGAAUAACCGGGAUCGAAUUGGGAAAAUUACGGGAGAAAAGGGAGCGGGGGGAGCCUGGGAGAAGGCGACAAAAGGGUUAAAAAAAAGGAAAUUCCCGAAAAUUGGGAAUUCCAGGGAAUUCCCCGGAAUCGCCUCACGUGGCAAUGGCGGCGCCCAUCUCGGAACGAACCCCUGGAAUUUUUCUGCUUUUUUCCGCUUUUUUCCGAUCGUUUCGCCACUUUUUGGUCAAAAUAAGAGGAUUAGAGAUAAAACCCAGCGCGAGGAGCCCAAAAAUCCCCCAAAAUCCCCCCAAAAAACCCCAAAACUCCCCAAAUUCCCUCGUACCCAACAUGGCGGCGCUCUCUGCCGUACGAUGACAUCAUCUCUGCGCCGC
rnacentral:lncRNA from 1 species